rnacentral:rRNA from 1 species
UGGGGAAUAUUGGACAAUGGGCGAAAGCCUGAUCCAGCCAUGCCGCGUGUGUGAAGAAGGUCUUCGGAUUGUAAAGCACUUUAAGUUGGGAGGAAGGGCAUUAACCUAAUACGUUAGUGUUUUGACGUUACCGACAGAAUAAGCACCGGCUAACUCUGUGCCAGCAGCCGCGGUAAUACAGAGGGUGCAAGCGUAAAUCGGAAUUACUGGGCGUAAAGCGCGCGUAGGUGGUUUGUUAAGUUGGAUGUGAAAGCCCCGGGCUCAACCUGGGAACUGCAUCCAAAACUGGCAAGCUAGAGUACGGUAGAGGGUGGUGGAAUUUCCUGUGUAGCGGUGAAAUGCGUAGAUAUAGGAAGGAACACCAGUGGCGAAGGCGACCACCUGGACUGAUACUGACACUGAGGUGCGAAAGCGUGGGGAGCAAACA